AAAGAUUGAAGAUUCAUGAUACCUGGCUCCUACUCUCUUUCUGUGUGUAUAAUGUAUAGCAGUGGAGAAAAAGAGAAAGAGGCAGAGAAAAAGAGCACUAAGUGCUAAAACAACUCCUGUUUACAAGAGAUUUUCUUCCCAGAUGGCCAUAGUGAGAGAUUGCCUUUGUACAGAAAAGCUUGCAUUUGGAUCCUGAAAACGAUGAAAGGAGAUAACACUUGGCCCUGUACUUCUACUGAAAGAGAGUCCUCCUUAAGGGGGCCAUUAGGAUGUAUGUGUGGUGAGCCUUGGGGACUGUUCACAUUCAAGCAAUCCUAUGGGACAGCUGUGAUGGCGUUAGCUGGCUUCCAAAUAUCCCAACUGUGCUGGAGAAAGUUGGUCACCAAUUCUGGACUCAAGGAAAGUCAACAGCUUUGAAGCGGUUGAUGUGGCAUUUCUACUUCUGGACUUUUAGGAACUCUUCCUUGAUUUUGCAGAGAAUCUGUUCAAAUGUACUCAGUGGUUGUUGAGAUCCGAGGUUGCCUGUCACACCAAUAAAAUCUUUCUGUUUCCUUCUCCAUGGUUUUGGAAUGAGAAACACCUCAUGGCUCACUGCAGCAGGAGAGAAAGCUUCAGUGACACAGCUGCUGAGUGCAGGUUCGAAUAACUGUGGUUUUAAGAACAUCUCCAAUCCAUGUCGUGAAGGAAGGGCUCUGGGAAUGGGGCGAUCAGGCAGAAUUGGUCAGUGGUGUACCUGUGACACACAGAGCAGCCGGAGCUGCCCCACAGGGAGGGGAGAGCACAGAGCUGAUGUGUUAAGUGUGAGGUGUAUGUGUGGGAAUGGGCUGGGAACCAGCUGA
rnacentral:lncRNA from 1 species